rnacentral:rRNA from 1 species
GACGAACGCUGGCGGCGUGCUUAACACAUGCAAGUCGAACGGAAAGGCCCUGCUUUUGUGGGGUGCUCGAGUGGCGAACGGGUGAGUAACACGUGAGUAACCUGCCCUUGACUUUGGGAUAACUUCAGGAAACUGGGGCUAAUACCGGAUAGGAGCUCCUGCUGCAUGGUGGGGGUUGGAAAGUUUCGGCGGUUGGGGAUGGACUCGCGGCUUAUCAGCUUGUUGGUGGGGUAGUGGCUUACCAAGGCUUUGACGGGUAGCCGGCCUGAGAGGGUGACCGGCCACAUUGGGACUGAGAUACGGCCCAGACUCCUACGGGAGGCAGCAGUGGGGAAUAUUGCACAAUGGGCGGAAGCCUGAUGCAGCAACGCCGCGUGCGGGAUGACGGCCUUCGGGUUGUAAACCGCUUUCGCCUGUGACGAAGCGUGAGUGACGGUAAUGGGUAAAGAAGCACCGGCUAACUACGUGCCAGCAGCCGCGGUGAUACGUAGGGUGCGAGCGUUGUCCGGAUUUAUUGGGCGUAAAGGGCUCGCAGGUGGUUGAUCGCGUCGGAAGUGUAAUCUUGGGGCUUAACCCUGAGCGUGCUUUCGAUACGGGUUGACUUGAGGAAGGUAGGGGAGAAUGGAAUUCCUGGUGGAGCGGUGGAAUGCGCAGAUAUCAGGAGGAACACCAGUGGCGAAGGCGGUUCUCUGGGCCUUUCCUGACGCUGAGGAGCGAAAGCGUGGGGAGCGAACAGGCUUAGAUACCCUGGUAGUCCACGCUGUAAACGGUGGGUACUAGGUGUGGGGUCCAUUCCACGGGUUCCGUGCCGUAGCUAACGCUUUAAGUACCCCGCCUGGGGAGUACGGCCGCAAGGCUAAAACUCAAAGGAAUUGACGGGGCCCCGCACAAGCGGCGGAGCAUGCGGAUUAAUUCGAUGCAACGCGUAGAACCUUACCUGGGUUUGACAUGGAUCGGGAGUGCUCAGAGAUGGGUGUGCCUCUUUUGGGGUCGGUUCACAGGUGGUGCAUGGCUGUCGUCAGCUCGUGUCGUGAGAUGUUGGGUUAAGUCCCGCAACGAGCGCAACCCUUGUUCACUGUUGCCAGCACGUUAUGGUGGGGACUCAGUGGAGACCGCCGGGGUCAACUCGGAGGAAGGUGGGGAUGACGUCAAGUCAUCAUGCCCCUUAUGUCCAGGGCUUCACGCAUGCUACAAUGGCUGGUACAGAGAGUGGCGAGCCUGUGAGGGUGAGCGAGUCUCGGAAAGCCGGUCUCAGUUCGGAUUGGGGUCUGCAACUCGACCUCAUGAAGUCGGAGUCGCUAGUAAUCGCAGAUCAGCAACGCUGCGGUGAAUACGUUCCCGGG